rnacentral:rRNA from 1 species
CACGUAGUUAGCCGGGGCUUCUUGGUCAGGUACCGUCAUCUUCUUCCCUGCCGAUAGAGCUUUACGCGCCGAAACGCUCCUUCACCCACGCGGCGUCGCUGCAUCAGGGUUCCCCCCAUUGUGCAAUAUCCCCCACUGCUGCCUCCCGUAGGAGUCUGGGCCGUGUCUCAGUCCCAGUGUGGCCGUCCACCCUCUCAGGCCGGCUACUGAUCGUCGCCUUGGUAGGCCGUUACCCUGCCAACCAGCUAAUCAGACGCGGGCCCAUCCUGUACCACCGGGGUUUUCCGCGCCGUGCCAUGCGGCACAGCGCGCUUAUGCGGUAUUAGCACCUGUUUCCAGGUGUUAUCCCCCAGUACAGGGCAGGUUGCCCAGCGUUACUCACCCGUCCGCCACUCGCGCGACGCCGCAGAGGCCGAGGCCCCUGCCGCACGCCGCGCCCGUUCGACUUGCAUGUGUUAGCACGCCGCCAGCGUUCAUCCUGAGCCAGGAUCAAACUCU